rnacentral:SRP_RNA from 2 species
GCCUGGUGUGGUGGUGCACGCCUGUAAUCCCAGCUACUCAGGAGGCUGAGGUGAGAGAAUUGCUUGAACCCAGGGAGGCAGAGGUUGCAGUGAGCCAAGAUUGCACUGCAUUUCAGCCUGGGUGACAGAGCGAGACUCCAUCUCAA